rnacentral:rRNA from 1 species
AAUAGAUACCCCGGUAGUCCACGCCGUAAACGAUGGGUGCUAGGUGUGGGAGGUGUCGACUCCUUCCGUGCCGUAGCUAACGCAUUAAGCACCCCGCCUGGGGAGUACGGCCGCAAGACUAAAACUCAAAGGAAUUGACGGGGCCCCGCACAAGCAGCGGAGCAUGUGGUUUAAUUCGAUGCAACGCAAAGAACCUUACCUAGACUUGACAUCUCCUGAAUUACUCUGUAAUGGAGGAAGCCACUUCGGUGGCAGGAAGACAGGUGGUGCAUGGUUGUCGUCAGCUCGUGUCGUGAGAUGUUGGGUUAAGUCCCGCAACGAGCGCAACCCUUAUUGUUAGUUGCUACCAUUUAGUUGAGCACUCUAGCGAGACUGCCCGGGUUAACCGGGGAGGAAGGUGGGGAUGACGUCAAAUCAUCAUGCCCCUUAUGUCUAGGGCUACACACGUGCUACAAUGGUCGGUACAAUGAGAUGCAACCUCGCGAGAGUGAGCAAAACUAUAAAACCGAUCUCAGUUCGGAUUGUAGGCUGAAA